rnacentral:tRNA from 1 species
AUUUAUAUAGUUUAUAUAAAACUUUACAUUUUCAUUGUAAAAAUAAAAUUACUAAUAUUUUUAUAAAUA